ACCCGCUGAACUUAAGCAUAUCAAUAAGCGGAGGAAAAGAAACCAACAGGGAUUGCCCUAGUAACGGCGAGUGAAGCGGCAACAGCUCAAAUUUGAAAUCUGGCUCUCGGGCCCGAGUUGUAAUUUGUAGAGGAUACUUUUGAUGCGGUGCCUUCCGAGUUCCCUGGAACGGGACGCCAUAGAGGGUGAGAGCCCCGUCUGGUUGGAUGCCAAAUCUCUGUAAAGUUCCUUCAACGAGUCGAGUAGUUUGGGAAUGCUGCUCUAAAUGGGAGGUAUAUGUCUUCUAAAGCUAAAUACCGGCCAGAGACCGAUAGCGCACAAGUAGAGUGAUCGAAAGAUGAAAAGCACUUUGAAAAGAGAGUUAAAAAGUACGUGAAAUUGUUGAAAGGGAAGCGUUUAUGACCAGACUUGGGCUUGGUUAAUCAUCUGGGGUUCUCCCCAGUGCACUUUUCCAGUCCAGGCCAGCAUCAGUUUUCCCCGGGGGAUAAAGGCGGCGGGAAUGUGGCUCUCUUCGGGGAGUGUUAUAGCCCACCGUGUAAUACCCUGGGGGGGACUGAGGUUCGCGCAUCUGCAAGGAUGCUGGCGUAAUGGUCAUCAACGACCCGUCUUGAAACACGGACCAAGGAGUCGUCUUCGUAUGCGAGUGUUCGGGUGUCAAACCCCUACGCGUAAUGAAAGUGAACGCAGGUGAGAGCUUCGGCGCAUCAUCGACCGAUCCUGAUGUUCUCGGAUGGAUUUGAGUAAGAGCAUACGGGGCCGGACCCGAAAGAAGGUGAACUAUGCCUGUAUAGGGUGAAGCC
rnacentral:rRNA from 1 species